rnacentral:rRNA from 1 species
AGUGAACGCUGGCGGUAGGCCUAACACAUGCAAGUCGAACGGCAGCACAGUAAGAGCUUGCUCUUACGGGUGGCGAGUGGCGGACGGGUGAGGAAUACAUCGGAAUCUACUUUUUCGUGGGGGAUAACGUAGGGAAACUUACGCUAAUACCGCAUACGACCUACGGGUGAAAGCAGGGGAUCUUCGGACCUUGCGCGAUUGAAUGAGCCGGUGUCGGAUUAGCUAGUUGGCGGGGUAAAGGCCCACCAAGGCGACGAUCCGUAGCUGGUCUGAGAGGAUGAUCAGCCACACUGGAACUGAGACACGGCCCAGACUCCUACGGGAGGCAGCAGUGGGGAAUAUUGGACAAUGGGCGCAAGCCUGAUCCAGCCAUACCGCGUGGGUGAAGAAGGCCUUCGGGUUGUAAAGCCCUUUUGUUGGGAAAGAAAAGCAGCAGGUUAAUACCCCGCUGUUCUGACGGUACCCAAAGAAUAGGCACCGGCUAACUUCGUG